rnacentral:lncRNA from 1 species
UAGAUUUAACUUUAAAAUUAAAUACUACUUUUAGUAGUAUAUAAAAACACUAUAAAUUAGUGAAAACACUACAAUAUAUUUUAUUCGAAUGAAAAAAAUUAAAUCCUGUUUGAUAUCAUUAUUUUCAAAAAAUGAAAUUUUGAUCCUCAUUUUAAAAUCUUUGUUUUUUUAAGGAAAAAUCUUCUUUUUUGGUUCCUCAAUUUUUUCCUUUUUCUGAAUUUUCCACCCCAUUCCAUUUUGGAGUCAUUUUUGCUAAUAUUAUUCAUUGGAAACAACUACUUUGGAGUCAUUGUUCCAUCAAAUUAUUAAAAAACGACUAUUUUAUAACUUCAAUAUAUUCAUGAUUCACGAACUAUAAUAACAGUCUCACACAUUAGAAAAUCAAGACGAGGGUUCAUGUCAAUUUUUUCAUGAUAGAAGCAUAACAUAACCUCUACUUACGGUUAUCCGUCCGAACCCAUUCUGAGUUCUUGGGUUUUUUCCGUUUUGACUGAAUUUGAGUAUGAGUUUGAAUUUUUCCUGAUUUUAAAACACGAGUAUAAGAUGAAAAACAUGUAUAUAUGUACCCACCCCGAUCUCAAACCCGUCCCGAUGUAAAAAUUUACUUUAUUAUCCAUUGAGGUUUGCCAUGUUAUAUAAAAGUCAAAUUAUUCGAUCAAAGAAAUGUUAAAGUGAACAUAUAGUUAGAUAAUGCAUUGGAACAUUUCCAUCAUAAAUGGAAAAAAUCUUCUUUAAAAAAAAAAAAAUCAUUGCGAGAAUGAAAAUGAAGCAGAGAUACUCAAAUAUGUUGGAGAUGUGAAUGAAAUUCAAUUUCUCAUCCUCGUUGCAUAUGAAUAUGGUAACAUGAGAAUAUAUAGGAGUUAAAGAUGGACGAUGAAAGUAAAACCCGUUUUCAUCCUACCCAUUGCAUAACUAUAGUUUAGUAACUCUAUUUGGUUACAUUCUAGUCUAGUCUAGUAGCAUGCACUAGUAAACAAAACUGUCAUUCUCCAUUCAUUUCAUGAUAUACAUUUAUAAUAUCCCCGACAAAUCAUCAUCCUUUAGCUUUAGCAGCAUAAUGGAAAUGAUGUGGACUCUUUUAGUGGAGAGGUUCAUUCACUUUGAUGGAGAAAAUUUUGAAAAGCAAUAUCAUCGUGGCUGCAUGGUUGUCUUAUCCCAAAGACUUCAUACAGAAGUUGGUCCAGCAAAGAUAUGCACGGUUGCUUGCCUAAAUAUUUCUCUCAGACUUCUAUAGGACGUUACUGCGACCAGAUACAUGGUUCUACGCAUUCUAUUUUUCUUUCUUUUGUUACAUUUACUUCUAUACCCUUUUAGAAGAUAUUCAUGCAUGUUUAGAGUCUAUUUGAACGAGAUAAUUAAAAAUUAUAAAAAAAUUAUUAGAAUUUAGGCAACUAAAAAAUUUCAAUUGAUCCUUCAAAAAAAAUAAAUUCAAUUGAUUUCUCUUAAUUUCUACAUUUUCAUGUUUGGAUGGAGUAAUUAAAUUAGUGAUUUUUUAAAAUUUGGAAACCAAUUUACAAUUUUUAAAAAAUUAUAGGGACUAAUUUACUUUUAUUUUAUUUUAUAUAAUUUAUAAAGAUUAUUCUGCAAUUUUUAAAAUUUGGAAGUUAAUAAAGACCGGUUUGUAUAACAUGAAAAAAUAUAGGGUUCAAUUUUAAAAAGUUCAAAAAAUAAAUAGGAUCUAAUGUGUAAAUUUUGAAAACAUAUAAUAAAACCCAAUUUUUGAGAUUCACGUUGUAUAACUAAAUAAUAAAUUUCAAAUAUGCACGUUACUUUAUUCGGUCAUUAUUAUAAGAAAAUAUUCAAUUUUAAUUUAUUUUUUUUGAAGGACACUUUUAAAUUUAUUGAAUAGUUGAUGUAUUUGGUCUAUAUUAUUGAUUAGAUGCAUAAGAUAUUCAAUUCGUCUAAAAUGUAGGUUUUUUUUUUCCUAAUAAGAGGGAUUGAAGGUUUUUUUUUUUUUUUUUAAAAAAAAAAAAAGCUAAACUAGUUCACUAAAAUUGACAUCAAAGAGAGUCGAGUCUGAGAUUCUGAGGAAGAGCACACUCCAAGAUGUCAAGUUAAUACCAUCAGAGUAAGUUUGGGACUCGGGAGUAUUAUUUUCUUACAAAACAAAUAGCAAAGUUAUUGGUACUAAUUAAGGUUCUAGGGGACCUUCUCCAAACCGCCAAUGAAUUUUUUAUGCAUAUUGAAAUGUCUGAGUUCAAGAUUUUGUUUGGUUAGACAGGCUUCCAGCGGAGUUGCAUAUGGGGAUGUCAACCUAGUUGGGAUGUCGGUGUAGCCUUUCGGAAUGUCUGUCUUUCUCCCUGCUUAGCAAAAAAAAUUAAGGUUCUAAGUUUAAAUUCGAGUUUGAGUCUUUAAUAUCAUUGAAAUUCUGGAAAGGAAUUUACCUUCCAUCUAAAUCUUAGAAGAUUGACACUUGAGUUUAUUCAAUAACUCAUGUAAUUAGUCUAUAAUAUUCAUCAUAUACAUCAAUUAUUUAAUAAAUUUAAAAAAUUGAGUUUUAUUUAUAAUGGUAACUAAAGGGUGUAGAAAUUUAGUCUACUUAGUUGAUGUGAUGCGCAUAGAUCUGUCUUAACCUGGUAGUGAUUAGAAAGAAACUUAGGCUGUGUGUACGUUUGGUAACACAAAAAAACUAGCUUAUAGUUUCUUGGAUUAGAUUAUAAGCUUGUUGGAUGAAAACAUGAUGCGUUUGGUAACAAGCUUUUCUCAUGAGCUUAUAGCAUUUUUUGAAAAGCUAUUUCAAGUAGCUUUUGAGCUUAUAGUUGGUAGCUUUUUAUAUUUUCUUCCUAUUUUAACCUUUUAUUAAUAUAGUUUAAUUUAAUUUUAAUUAAAAAACCUACCCACAUUCUUAUUCAAUUGCCCACGUUUAAAAAAAAAAACUACCCACAAUCUUUUUCAAAUUUUCUUGUUCACUUUCUUUUUUUACAUACUCUUAAUUCAAUAAUAAAUAAUUUUAUAUGAAAUUUACAAUAAAGAGUGAAGAAAGUUUAGUUGAGUAAAAUUCAUUAAAAGAAAGUUUUGUUAAAUAAAAAAUGUCAAUUGAAUUCAUAAAUACAUUUAUCAUUUGGGAGAUGAAAAUAUUUUAAAAUAAAUUUAAACAUUUAAAAAGAAAUACAAUAAUUAAUAAAAAUUGUAUAUAUGAUUUAUAAAAAACGAUUGUCUUUUUACGUCAUUUUAUAUUUAUCAGCCACUUGAACAACUAAUUUUACCACAAACACUUUUUAUUUUAAUAAACUAACUUUUCAACUAUAAAUUAUCAGUUAUCAGCCAUCAACUAAUUAACAAGGCAACAUCAUUCUAUUUAUAAAAAAAAAAACUCUUCAAAAAUAAAAUGAAAGACAUGACCUCACCAUUGAUCACCUACAUGAGCAAGACUAUAGUUAGCUAACAUGUUCGCAAAAUGAUCUCCUUUUCUAAAAUUGUGAGAAAUAUGAAAAUGCAUAUGAGAGCAAAGAUGUAAACAAUUGGCCCAUGAUUAUGAAUCCUCCAAAGAACUAAGUAGUUUCUACAAUAUAAAAAGUAUCGAUCCAACCGAAAGGAGGAGGAAACCAAAUAAUGUCUAUGAUUUUUGGAGAAGCACCGAGGUUGCCAUCAAUAUUUAAAUGUUGAAAGUUAGAGAUUGAAUUAGACAUUGUGCCCUUAGAUCGAUAAAUUCCAAGUCAUAUGCAUAUAAGAUAAAAUAGAAGAACAUGUUCGUUGAAAAGUUACACUCUUAUUUUGAACUUUAGCUUGAUUCAUAGGAAUCCAAGUCAUAUGCAUUUUUGUGAUUUAUUUAUUUUGAUCAGCUAAAUUUUAUCGAGUUUACAUUUUUUAUGGUUUGUAGACAUUAUUUAAAACUCACAUACAUAAUCAAUGUCUAAAUUUGAACUCAUGUGAAGGUGUUUAAUCUAACAAUAUUAAAAUUACCAACUAGGUUAGAUCUUACAAAUAUACUAGGUCAUGUUUAUUGUGGGUAAAUUAUUUGAACAAUUGUGAUUCUUUUAAAUUUUCAAAAAAAUAUUUUGGAAAAGAAUGUUAUGUGAUGAUUUUAAAAAAAUUAGUUUUAAAUAUUUUUUAUAUAAUGCAAUUCAUUUUGUUGAAAGAACUUAUUUAGAUUUCAAAUUUUCAAUAUAGUUUCUUUACUUUAUAAAUUUUGGGAUAUUUUUAAAUUCAUUUUUUUAUAUAUUUAUGAUAUAACUUUACUCUUUUUUUUUUUUUUAUGGAUGAUUUAUAUAAAAAAUGACUGAGAAUAUAUUAAAGAUUCGAGACCAGGUUCAUUUGUUUUAGACCAGGUUCAUAUUCAUUGAAAUUCAAUUCAACUAUUUGACCCAUUUUCACCCUUUUUCGGUGUGUAUUGGUACUAGUAAUUUUACUUUAAAAACCUGCCUAAAUAGGUAGAAUAAAUUGAGUAAAAGUUGUCUUUAUUAUAUAAAAAUUAUUUUAUUUUUAAUGUAUCGAUUAUAUUAUUUAUAUAUUUAUUUAUUUUGUGACAACUGUUUUCUAAAUAGCAUUUCCUAAGAUAAUUUUAUACCUAUAUACAUUUUUUUAAAAUGGAAAAAUAAUCAAAGGUGAAUCAGACCGAAAUUUGAAUAAUUAUGAAAGGGAAGCUUGAAAAUUAUCAUGGUCGAAACAAUCUUGCUUUAUGGAGUAGUAGAAACACAAAAAUAAUUUUUACGAAUAAAGACCCGUUUGUGUUGAGACUUGCAUUUCUUGAUAUGGAAAUCAACUUGACUUUUUUUUCCAUAAAAUAAAAAAAUUCAAAAAAGCAUGUUAGGGUCAUGAUGGUAAGUUCACAAAAUCCCAUAAAUCUACGAAAUAGAAUUAAUGCUAUAAAUAAGCUAAUACAAGAUCAUAACACAAGAAAACAUUAGGCCACAUAGCUCAAACAUGAUGAAAGAUUUUCUGAACAAGUGUGGUGGGUAUGGAAUCAUAGAUGGUGGGUUUGCCACAGAGCUUGAACGCCAUGGAAUUGACCUCAAUGACCCACUUUGGAGUGCCAAAUGCCUCUUUACUUCCCCACAUCUUGUCCGAAGGGUACCGCUUUUUUUUCUUUAAUUACUUAUUUUCUCUUGCUUUUGUUUCAAUGCACUUUUAUUCAUAUAGUAUAGAUAAGUUCUUACAAAAAAAGACUAAAAAAUAGUCUAGGAAUUUCGUUAUUAAUCAAGAAUCACUAUAUACAAGAUGGAGUAUACAUGGAAAAAAAAAAUCCAGGGAAUGGAAGAGAUAAAACUACUCUAUUAGAUUGUACUUUAGCUUAUCCUUCCAACACCACAGACAGGAAAGUUCACAAACAUUUAGCAAGGACAAAAGCUCCAAGAUUAUUAAUAGUGAAAUUCUUAAAGUAAAAUUUUAAAAAAAUUCUCUUUAUACAUAUUAAUUAAUCAUAUAUUAGUGGUGGUGAAGACAUGAGAUUUAUAAUUGUGUUUAUCUCUGGAUCUCUCAAGUUUGAAUCCUCAAUCCGUAUAUAACAAAGUUCAAUUGGAUCUUUUGCUGAUAAACAAUGGAUUGAUCACUCGAAUUAGUAGGCUAUUGUCCUAACAAAAUGUUUAAAUUUUCUUCUUCUUCUUCAUAUUUACGUUACUCUCAUUUAAUUUAUAUAGCCCGUAGCUAAAUUAACAUAUUUAACAAAAAUAAUACAGUAUCGUUUAGGUUUAUCAUGACUUUACGUUUAAUUUGUUUAACUUAAAAUUAUUCUAUAUAAUCAUAUAACCUAACAUUUAUUAUUUUUUGGACUCUAUCGUUUAUCAUGGACAACACAACUUUCUCAUAUCACGUAGAAACGUACCAAUGUGUCAUAGUUAGGUCCAAAUCGAAAAAAAGACAGAAAUCAAGUAACGAAAAUGUACACGUUGCACUUUAUGUUGCCAAGGUGUCAGUACUUCAUGUAGUCCUCUGUGCUAGGUGUAAUCUCUUAAUAAGUUUCGCAAUAAAACUAUAGGUACUCAAUUAUUUAAUGUCAUGGUAUAAUUUUUUAUAUUUAACCAUUUAAAAUGAAUUAUUUAAUUUUACAGUGAUUUUAUCUUUAUGAAUUAUGAUAUCGGUAUCCAUCAAAAGCUUUAAAAUAUAUGAAAGAAUUCCCCGGAUGUUGAUAUACUUUUGAAAUUAAAAAGGAAAAAAUGUAUAACUUAUAGGAGAAGAACCUUAUCUUAGAUGAGAUUGACAUGUUUGGAUGUAUACGAUCGAAGUUGUAUUUAUUUAAUGACUAUGAAAACAACUUAAAGCAGACGGAACUGAACAUACAAGCUGUAGUGUUCAUUUGGUAUUUGUACAAGAAAAGGGAUUGAGUACAAGAUUGCACAUCUAUGAUCUAACUUUAUAAUGCAUUUUGCAGCUAUUUAUUUAAUUUAAUUAAUCACUACAAAACUUAAACAGACGACAUUGCUCAUACAAGCAUAAUUUGUUUGGAGGAGAAAGAUUAAAAUAAGACAAGGCUACUAAAACAAGGGCUUAGUUAGAUCUAUAAAACUUAAUUAAUCUAACUUUGAUUUAAAAAAACAUCCAAAAAGGGAAAUAUUUUAAAUUCAUAUGAUAAAAGAUUGUAAAAACAUUUGAUAUGUUAGGAGGUGAACCCUCGACUUUUCACUUUUCAACAUGCUAUCGUUUUGCUUACGCUCUUUAGAACAAAAUAAUAAUAAUAGAAGAGUAGAUAAAUUACAAGAUAAAUUGGUAAUUUUCUACUUAUCUAAUUAAUUAACUUAUCAUUUCAUCGAUGUUUUGUUGAUUCAUUGCUUGACACCAUGUGACAGGUUCACCUUGAUUACCUUGACUCAGGAGCAAACAUAAUAUUAACAUCAUCUUAUCAGGUAAUUCAUCUAAACUACUAAUUUCCCUACAUAGAAUUUAAUCAACUGAUUUACAGUUACUAUCUAUCUAUCUAUAUUCAGGCCACAAUUCAAGGUUUUGAAGCUAAAGGGUUCUCUAAGGAAGAAGGUCAAGCUCUGCUUCGAAGAAGCGUAGAGCUUGCGCGCGAGGCACGUGAUAUAUAUUAUGAUAGGUGCACUAAAGAUUCAUUUGACUUCAUCAGAGAUGAAAGAUAUAGAAGCCGUCCCAUUUUGAUUGCAGCUUCUGUUGGAAGCUAUGGUGCCUAUUUAGCUGAUGGCUCUGAAUAUACGUGAGUCGAUUAAACAAACCAUGUCAAAACUAUAUAUUAGAAUGUGAUUUUAGAUUGGACAUAAGUUUUUCGCACCAUUAGUGUCGACGUAUGAUGUUAAUUGUGUGUUUUUGAUAGAGGGGACUAUGGUGAUGCAAUCACUGUCCAUACACUCAAAGAUUUUCACAGGGAAAGGGUAAAAAUACUCGUUGACGCAGGAGCUGACUUAAUUGCCUUUGAAACAAUUCCAAACAAGCUUGAUGCACAGGUAAUUACCAAUUACCAUUGCAAAUUUGUACAAGUUUCACAUUGAUUUUGAGCAUGCCUAUUAAUUUUCCCUACAAUCAAAUAUACAGGCUUAUGCUGAACUUUUAGAGGAAGAAGGGAUAGAAAUUCCUGCAUGGUUUUCUUUUUCUUGCAAGGAUGAAAACAAUGUGGCUAGUGGUGAUUCUAUCUUAGAAUGUGCUUCCAUUGCUGAUUCAUGUCCACAAGUUGUCGCAGUUGGAGUUAACUGUACAGCUCCUAGAUUUAUUCAUGGUUUGAUUUCAUCUAUUAAAAAGGUGUGACUUUUAUAUAAGUUUAUGCUCUUAUGUGCUAAUUUGUUUUACUAUUUUGAUUGGCUUUUGUAAAUCAUUCUUAUACAAGUUUUAGUUAAUCGAAUCAUAUAGUUUCUUGGUAUUAUACUAUCAACAUUUUUGUUCAAUAUGCACAAUUUUCAACUAAAAAUAGUGAUAAAGCUGAUACUUGUUCAUUGAUUUCUUAAAUAUCAGGUAACAAGUAAACCAAUACUUGUAUAUCCCAACAGUGGAGAGACUUAUAAUGCUGAGAACAACACAUGGGUGGUGAGUUCAUGUUUUUCUCUCUCAGCUCAUGUUCAACUUCAUCCAAUUUCAAUCUAAUUGCGGUUUUAACAAAUGAUACAUUGUCACAUAUUUAUUUAUAGCAUAACCUCAUUCCAUUUCUAAGUUAUUAAUCUCAAAAUUUAUCUUCAAUAAUCGGCAAAGCAUACAUAAAAAAAUGAAUCUUAAUGGAGUAAUUGAAAGUAAGUUAACAUGUACAUAUCGGAUGUGGGAGUUGAACUAGACGUAGUCACUGACUUUAGCCGUCUGGUGUGAAAUCAAUCAAGGUGAUGAUUAUUUAACGAUGAUUUAACAAAUUUGCAAUGUAUGUUGAAGUAUAGUCACACAAUUCGCUCCCCUACUGGAGAACCACGAAUUGGUUCGUGCAAACCGGUUUGUGGUACUUUUGCGAACUGCAGUGAACCGGUUCGUCUAAUGUGUGUAACUGCAUUUUUUUUCUACUCCAUUGGGUAUAAGUUUGUACAUAUAUGAGAAUUUUUGUUUAGUGUAUGAAAUUGAUGGUAUGAAGUUAAUCUAUGCAGAAAUCAAGUGGGGAAGCAGAGGAAGAUUUUGUCCCUUACAUAGGAAAGUGGCGUUAUGCUGGGGCUACCCUUUUUGGUGGCUGCUGUAGGACCACUCCCAAAACUAUUAGAGGCAUAACCGAGGCAUUAUAUGGAAAACCUCAUGGCAAAUGUAUAUAAACUGUUGAAGUAUGGUUUAUCUUAUGUGUGUAAUAAUUAAUGAUGGAACAAAUGAUCAUAACAAUAACUAGUCUUGUUUUGGCUAUUCCACUUUCAUACAAAUUGGAUAUAUGCCAAACAAUCUCUAAUUUCUAUAAUAUAAAUUACUUGCCCUACCUGUUUCCGUUUGUGCAAACUUUUGAAUGAUAGUAACAAAACCUGAUAAGGAUAAGAGUGUAGCAGCAGAUAAAAAAAAAUGAAUUCUUGAACAAAUUGGUGGCAUUUAAAAUGAGAAGUUGGAGACAAUUUUUUAUAAAGCCUCAUAAUAUCAGAGUCAUACAUAUCACAAAAAUGUCACAUGCACUAUCACAUAAAAGGGUUUGCACCUGUCUAGUAGCAAGAAAAACCAAAAGUUACCAUCUCGGUUGCACGGACACUUUUAAUUAAAGGUGUGUCUGGUGUCUGAUACCGACGCAACACUGACAUUUGUGAUUACAUUGAACUAUGUCGUUUUUUCAAAAUUUUAAUGGUGUCGGCGUGUCCGUGUCAGUGUCAUGUGUGGUGAUCCAAUCAAUAUUUUUUUAGGUCUAGCACUACAGUCCAUUCAAUAAAGAAAGGUGAUUCUUUCAAAAAAAAAGAAAAAAAGAAAGGUGAUUGUUCAUCUAACUCCCCGAAAAUGCAGGAACUAUAUUUUAACGGAUUUGAGCAUACGAGAAGGGAGGGGGAAUGAUCAAUCACCACACAGAAAUUGUGAUAAACUGAUCAAUUGCACCUAUUAAGUACACAUUUGAAGAAAGAAAAAAACAUAUUUUUGUUUUUUUUUUUUGUUUUUUUUUUUUUUUUUUUUGUGUGUGUUGAGGAGGAUACUUAUUUUCUAGAAACGUUAGGGGUGUAUAAAGUAGCUAUCAUAUAUUUAUUUUAAAAAACUGGCACAAAAUGGACGGCCCAAGAUAGGUAUACUCGCACCUACUUAAGCUACCCCAUAUUUCCACAUCUAUCUCCAUCUUUCACAUUUAUUUAUCCCACAUUGGACGUAAUUUGACGUAAAAAAGGUUUAUAAAUAGUUUCUCACUUUACAAGUUAAUUUGUGAGUUGAUUAAAUUAGAGUUAACCCAAAUUCUAAGAUGAUAUUAAAAUUUGUCAUUGAUCCAUUGAUCAUUCACCAUACUAAUAAUAUUGAGUGUGAUGUGUGUGUAUGGAGAAAAUUAAAGUCUCACGUUAGGUGUUAACCCAAAUUCUAAUAAUAUGUUAAAAUCUGAUUCUAAUUCAUCCUUACAAAAUUGACUUGUAAGGUAAGAUUUACCUCUCUUUUCAAUGUGAGAUUUGAGUUUUUUCAAAUACACUCCAUUACGUUCAAUACUAUUGAGUUUGAUACAUGAAUAUAUAGGUGACUCAAAUCGAUAGACUCUAAUAUCAUCUUAGAUUUUAUAUUUGAUCUAACUCAACCUUACAAAACCUAAAUUGUAAGGUGAACAAUGACUCUCUUUAUAAACUCUUAUUACAAAUCCUAUAUUUUCAAUGUGACCUAAAUACUUUAUAUUACAUUUUUCAUACCAUACCAUACCACAGGUCCACAGCUGGAUGAAGACGAAUGGUAAGGUAGAAAGGUGAUGGAGGACAUCGUCUUGAAAAAGUCAGAUACCCCAUAAUUUGAUGAGGCAAUAUGAAUGAGAAAAAUGGAUGACCACUAUAAUUACAAACGUCAACGAGUUCUUAUACCAUAAAACUACUUGGGUCACAUCAUUCUUGAAGUCACUACUUUGUAAUACGAAUGUAUACUCCAUCAUGCAUGAAAUCACUUUUUUUUUUUUUUUAAGGAAUCAUGCAUGAAAUUACUGGUUACUACCCAUGAUAUUUGAGUUCAUCAUGUAACCAAAAUAUGUAUGACACAAAAUGUUCUCUUCUAAACACAAGAACACAUACUCCACCCUUUUUUUUAAUCGUCAUAUUUGAAUAAAUUUUCUGUCUCUACUUAGUUGUCAUUUUAAAGUUUAAUAUAAUAUUAAUUAUUGAUUUUUCGAUUAUAUCCUUACUCAUUUUACCGUAGAGAAAAAAAUAGAUAAAAUAAAAUAUUAAAUGAUUAAAAGUAUUAUAUAUAAAAGAUAAAUAAUUGUAUUAAAAGUAAUAAAAUUUAUUGAUUGUCCUGGCAAUUGUGAAAAUUUAAACAACGGUGAUUAAAAAUGAACAAAUGGAGAAAAUGAAAGAAGGGUGAGACAAAAUAAUAAAAUCCGAAUAAUUUUAUGUUGACACUUUUUUUUUUUCUACCAGUAGUUGAAUAAUUUUAGUGAUUUUACCCCAUGUAAAAGAGAGUGUUGGGUGGGAUGGUUAGGAUCACGUGACCAUCUGUCACAUUUGUGUGUUGUAGUAGAAGAUGUGUGUGUCACCUAUCGUGGUCAAGGUAUCACCACUCUAAAAAUCUAAACCAUAUCUCAAUCACAUGUUGAUAUGGUGUCGGAUGUCAAAUUGUACGGUUACAAUUUAUUGUUUUUAUCAAAAAGACCGCAUAAUGCAGUAGAUUAGUGUGUUUGACUUUGGAUCAAAAGGUCGUGGGUUUGACUCCCACUGUGGUCGAUACUUUUCCCUCAAAUUUUUUUAUUUUUUUUUUAUUUUUUCCUGCAGAGGCAUGAAUUAAACAUUUAAAGAGUAAUAUGUAAAUUUGAGUCCAAAAUAAAAAGUAACUGGUAAUUUGUCCAUAUUUUUAUUUUUAUUUUUACUUGGGCUAAAAAUUAGAAAAGGAAAGAAAUAUACUGGUAGAUUCUUCCUUAAACCUUGGAAGAAAAAAAGGAAUUUGGUUAAUGUGUGUUAUGGCGUGACGAAGCACAUUCAUUCGUAGUUUACAAUUUGCUUGUGAAUAAUGGGUUCAUCUUUAAUUCAAAAGAUAGUGACAUGAGAUGAAAGCUUUGUCACAUUUUGAAAAUGCCAAACCCAAAGCCAAUUUGACAAAACAGAUGAAAACAUGAAGCUUUGAAAUAAAAAAAGGAGACAAAAACAAAUAAAUUGGGUCUCUCUCAAAUCAGAAAAAGCAAUAAAAUAAAAGAAUCAAACCAAAGACAUGUUGAAAAAUAAAAGACAAAUAUAUCUUUGACCAUCUCGUAAAACAUAAUUUUGUCUAAUAGAUCCUAUUCUCGUAAAACAAUUUAAUUUCGUGUAGGAGACAUAAAGCAAAAGCAAGAAGAUAUUCUUGGAGUUAUUUUUUAAUCAAAAUAAAUAAAUUUAAGAACAAAAUAUCAGUUACUUUGGAAUAUACCUUAUAAUCAUCAUAACCUCAUUGAAUCGAAAAACAUACGUUCCAAUUGAUGUUGUUGGUCUACUAGGAUGUCUAUUCUAUAAUCUAAAGGUGGAAGAAAAUGAUACGAAGACUUAGCACAUUCUAAAAUGUAGGACCACUUGUUCUACUCUUUAAAUAUAGAAUUACCAUAUAUGGCCCAAUUCUCUAUCGUUUUUGUAACGAUUCCUUAUCUUUAUGAGUUUAUUUGGAAAAUUCAAUGGACCCCUCUUUCUUCCUUAUUGUCUCAGAAAUCAUUCCCUAAAACCCACAUUCAACGACGCAUAAACGUUAUAAAAUUCCUACUGAAAGCAAAAGCAAAAGCAAAACAUUCAUAUCACUUAUGUUUCUUUCACCAACGUAGUAUUGACAGAUUAUUAGAUGUGGGAUGUGUAUGUGUUAAGCAGCAUCUAGUCACGACUUCAAUUUUUAACCGAAAUGAUUAUUAUAACUUAAUUAAUCUGCACAUUUAACUAUGGAGACUAAUCUCAUGAAACAAGAUUUCUUUAUAACAAGACAUCUAAAAUCCAAAGUCAGUGGUGGAGAGCCUUGCUAAACCUAUGGCCCCCAUGCUUGCCUUAUUUGAACAAAUUUUCAGUGCUCCAAUAAUAAUGAACACUCGAUACUCCUCUCUAUUAUAGUUUAAAAAAAAAAUUAAAGUUUUUCUUUUUAAAAAAUGAAAAUAAAAAUAUAGUAAGGAGUGCAAACUAUUUUGUCAUGUUUUAGGGUUGUGGCAAAAGACACUGGUUCGUAUUUCUUUUAACAUAGGGUCUCAGAAAGCUUCAGUGCAUGGUCACUAUUUGGAUUGGAACCUUCUUUGCAAUCAUGGCUGUUAAUACUAGCUGAUACAGUUGUUAAUGAAGCUGCUGAUAUUUUGUUUUAUUCUAAAUUCUAAAAGAUCUUUUUUCAGCUAAAUUUUAUAUAAAUAAAUCUAUCAAUCUUUUAGAUUUUUGUGGGUGCAAUCUUACCAGAACCCUUCAUCUUUGUGACAUCAUGCAUGUAAAUAAUUUUUAAACAAAAUUUGUGUUGGUUUUUAGUUGUGUGGUGACAUAAAUAUACUUUGAAUAAAUAGAUUUGAUAAAAAUAAUUGUUAUUAAAGUUGAGAGUUGAAUAUAAAAUAAUUUAUUUUUUUGAAUAUAAAAAUGAUUUAUGUUUACAUACAUUUAAGUAUAUAUGAGUUAAAUAAUAAAAAAUCAAUUGUAGAUGCAAUAUAUUCAAACUCUAACAUAAGUUAAAAUCAAUUAUAAAAAAAAAAAAUCAAUUAUAUUUGAGAACAUCCAAAUAUGUAAAAAGCACAUUUAAACUUUUAGUGUAAUUUUUUUGCAUCGUAGCAGUAAUGAGGAAUGAGGCCCUUCAACCAAAUCUAUAUUAGGAAGAACUAUCAAUCUCAAUGAAUAUUUAUAAUGAAAUUUAUACAUAACCUACUAGGUGAAUAAUUUCAUGCUUGACCAAUGAAUUAAUUUUUUUUAGUGACAAUUUUAAUAUCUUUUUUGACUCACAAUUUGAUUACUUUUUUUUAGAGAGGCACAAUUUUAAUAGUUAUUCAAGCAACCAAGGAGUUAAUCAUGAUUGCAAAAUCUAAACCCGAUUAAGAGGGAAGAGCUCCAAAUAUGAUCUAAUAGAUUUGGAGAUAGCCAUCAAUUAAAUAGAAGUAUACCAUAUUGUUUAGAAGAACCAUAUCGAUCUCGUUUGAAAGGUGGGUUUUUUUAUACAAAUUUGAAAGGUGGUGGACUUGCACCAUAUUGUUUUUGCUUAGUUUUUUUUAUGCAAAUAUAAAAAAUACCUCCAAUUUCACUAUUGCGCCGUCAGUUCAAUGCAUUUUCAUUCCACAAUAUCAAUAAUUUUGUUUGACUAAUAAGAUACUCAAGGCACAAUUAGUGAAAGAAUAAAGAGGUUUGGUGAUGGCCAUGGUGGGACUAUGGCUUCAACGUCCCUUGAAGAGCUUUCUCAAACUUUCUUUUGAAGUUUUUCAAUGAAUUAAUACUUUAUAAUUAUAGAUACGAUCUUUAAAGAUUGCAGAAAGAAACGAGUAAAUUUUAAAUCGGUUAGUUAUGAUACUCCAUUAGAUUUUGUUGUUGGUUGUUGUUUAGAUUACAGGAAGUAGUAUGUAAAUAAUUCUUUACAUAUUUGUUGUUGUUUUUAUCUGUCAAUUACAUGUUAACACUAGAGUUUUUCAACAAAAGGGGGACUCCAUUAAUCAUCUCGUAGAAAAGGUUAAGUUUCAAUUCUUCUAGUAGUUGAAGGCAAAUCAUCCUAGUUUUGCUUUUUCUUACCACAUGUGGUGGCUUAACACACUCUCAUAUUUGGGAGUUUUUAUUUAGCUCCGGUCUCUUUUAUUCUUUUUAGUCUUUGCCUACAUUUUGGCUAUAUCACUAAGUUUUUGUUCUUGUUGUCCAUAUGUAACUGAUAUUUUUAUUCUUUAGUUCUUCUCUGGCACAUCUUGAGCUAGAGCGACUAGCAAAUCUGGUCAUUCAAUUCCAUUUUAAUUUCUUAAAAAAACAAAAAGUUUAUAUUAACUACCAACAUGUUUGUUGGGAGAAUUGACAAUGUUGUGAUAAAAGAAACUAGGUCACGACCAAUUUGAGGAUUAGUCCUAUAGUUGAUUCAAAAGAAUAUUGUUGAUAAAAAAGAGAUUGUGUUAAUUAAUUUUUACGUCAAUGAUAUCCUUAAUAACAUGGAAAAAUAAAUCUUAGACAAAAAAAACAUGGAAAAAUAAAUAAUUUCGUAAAUAAAACUAUUUAGGAUUUUUUUUUAAAAUUCCGGACAGUACAAAAUGUAUUUAUUUAAAUUAAAAUAAAAACAUGAUGAACGAUCAUACUUCAAUCACACUUAAUUUAUUUAAAAAAAAUUAUUUCAUCAUAUCCAUAAUUUUAAAAAAAAAAAAGUAAAUUCUCUCAUCCAUCGCCCUCCUACAUAAUAUGACACACCCUUAAUUUGUGAAAACAAUCAUAAUAUGACACACAAAAAAAAAAAAAAAAAACAAAGAUAGUACCACAUCCAUCCUUAAAUAUGAUUUUUUUUUUUUAUAGGUUCUUUAUUAUCCUUUUUUAUAACACACUUUUCAAAUUUUCAACUUUAUUAACUACUCCAUUUCUUUAAUUCUUUAUCCACAUUUUCUUAAUUACAUUAAAUAUUUUUCUACGACAUGCUAUAACUAAUACCACUCUCGUUUUUUUUUUUUUUUUUUUUUUUUUUAAAUAUUGAUAUGUUCUCUCUCUCUUUUUGAUAACACUCUUGUCAAAACUUAGGACAUUAAUUUCAUCAAACUAGAUCAGACUACACUUUUUGAUCUACUCUUGGUUAGUUUUGAUUUCUAUUUCUUUUAUCUAAUUAUUGUGUCGAUUUUGGCAUUAUAUGAUGAUUUAGGAUUUCUUUGGAAAUUUUUAGGCUGUUUCCGAUUAAUGUGAUUUAGACCUUUCAAGUGUUUGAAAUUGCAAUUUUAUUGGUUAAGUGAUGCAAUAUUAUUAGUAGUAGGUUCUCUCUUUGUCAAACUUAUCAACUUGUUCAAAUUCAGAAGUGCCUUAAGCUCCAGACUUUGAUUUUAUGUUUUUCUUUGUGAAAGGUUUUUUAUAUAGAAAUUUGUAUACUCACAUUCUUUUCAGAUUGUUUCUUGUGUUGAAGUGGAUACAUUUUUUAUAUUUGAUAUAUAACAUUGUUUUCAUUUUGUGUUUAAGGGAAACACGUUUUUUAAAUUUUGAUAAAAUAUCACACCCACUAUACAAAACUUUGAAGGCUAAAUUAUUUCUCUACAUUUGAACAUUAUUAUAAAAAUUGGAACUAAAGUGAACAUAUCAAUAUUUUUUAAGUUAAUACAGAAAUCAUAGUGUUAUCUUAAAUCAAACAAACUAAAAAGAGUUAUGAAUUAUUGAUAAGAUAAUCAAAGAGUACAUUAUGAAUAAAAUUGUAAUCAAUUUUGUGUAUUUUAAAAAAUGCCAAUUUUUUUAGCAUAAAAGAUUACCAUAAAUCAUCCAAAUACAUAUUCAUUAGUAUUACUAAUAUUAGGACAACAUACAUCAUCCAAGUACGUAUUCAUUAGUGUUAAUAAUCUCACCAAUCAAUACCUAUAAACAAAUACAAAUAUGUUUUGUUUUGUUCAUGGUUUUUCUCAAAAUGCAUUUGCAACCGUUAGGUUUGUCUGAAUUUUCCCCCACAAUAAAUUUUCCAAAACACACAAAAUUUGAGUUUUCCCCCAUUUGUUAAAAAAAAUGUGGUUGGAGGUACCUACCUUUGGUAUGGGUAGGAAACAGAAAUGGUUGUAACCAGUGUCAGUAAUGGUAUCGUCAAGUGUGGCUAGAUUGCUCUGCGGCUGAUAGAGAAGCUUUCUUAUAAGGUGGUUAGUUAACUGUUUCUACAUUUUUAUGUUCACAUAACAUGAGGGUUAAAUAGAAUGUUAUUUCAUUUCGUGAUUGUCCUCGAAGGUUAAAUAAAGACUUGUAAUGGACAACUACAUAAUAGUGUGGUCGUGUUUGUACUUGGAGAGCAUGUAUUAUAUAUCAACUAUAAGUGAAACUUGACUUAAUUGGAAAUACAUAAUAUAGCUUUAUUUCUUCGUUUAUUAUUUAUGCAUAUAACUGAGUUGUGUACUGUAAAAUACAUGUUACUAUUAUAUUAUUUGGGUUUAAAUUUAAUAAGUCGUUCUCUAAAUUUAUGGGGUGAUUAUGUUUGUGGAUCUCUUCUUUAUUGAUUCCUUAUUCCCUAUAUUGUAGCAAUUUUCUUUUUGAUGCCAAUUUAUAUAUGUCAUAAUUUACUUCCCCUUUUUUAUGCGAACAAUUGUAAAUGAUAUAAUCCUGAUUUUUGGAGAAUCAAUGUUGCUGAUAUUGUAACCCAUCUUAUUUACAAAAAUAUAUAAAUAUUUUAUUUAUCAUUUUAUUGUUGGAUCAUGAAGUAGAUGUGGGGAGGAUAACGAAGAUGAGAAUAUAUAGACAAAGAUAAUUGAUCAAACUUUUUUUUUUUCGACGCCUCUGAUGUGACUAAAGGGGUAUUCCGUGUUUGUAAGGGAUGACGCUCCCUUUGGCGCGACCUGUCUUGCGGAAGACAAUUAAUUUGUUAACGCUAAAAAGUUGUAGUAGAAAUCCAUCAAGAAGAUAUACUAAUACACAACAUUGAUUACAAAUUUAUUUAUAAUGUACUCUUUAAUUAUCUGAUCAAUAAUUCAUAACUCUUUGGGUUUGUUUGAUUUCAGAUAACACUAUGAUUUCAGUAUUAACUUAAAAAAUAAUGAUAUUUUCACUUUAGUUCUGGUUUUCAAUAUAAUGUACAAAUGUAGAGAAAUAAUUUAGCCUUCAAAGUUCUGUAUAGUGGGUGUGAUAUUUUAUCAAAAUUAAAAAAUGUGUUUCCCCUAACACACAAAAUGAAAACAAUGUGAUAGAUCAAAUAUAUAAAAUGUGUCCACUUCAACAUAAGAAAUAAGCAGAAGAGAAUGUGAGUUUACAAAUUUCUAUAUAGAAAACCUUUCACAGAGAAAAACAUAAAAUUAAAGUAUGGAGUUUUGGGUGGUGUUUUUGGGAGAUUUCUAGCUGCUGGUUUUGCUGGGUAGGUAGUGCUGCUGUAUUAGUGCAGAUGCUGUCGGCUACCUUUUCAGGACCUUGGGUUUGUUCAUGUUUUUAGGGGUGGUUUUUAAAGGGUUUUUGUUCGAGCUGGUGUUAUUGUGGCAAUCGAUUUCCCCUUAUAUUGUUUUUUUCCACCUGAGCUUAUUAGUGCAUCUUGCACGGGCUUGUUGGUUAAUAAAAAUUUUACCGAUUCAAAAAAGAAAGUAUGGAGCUUAAGGUACUUCUUAAUUUGAACAAGGCAAUAAGUUUGACCUAAAGAACCUAAUACUAAUACUAUUGCAUCACAUAAACAAUAAAAUUGCAGUUCUAAAUAGUUGAAAGGUCUUGCUAAAUCACAUUAAAUGGAAACAACCCAAAAAAGUCGAAAGGAAGAAACCCCGAAGUUUUGUUUUUAUUUUAUCUAUUAGUCUGUCUUAGAUUUUCUUAAUUUUAUAUUUUGUGAUAAACACAAAUGGCUCGAAAAAUAAUAUGAGCAUAUGCGUACUUGUAUGUAAAUUGUGUUAGUUAUGAGAAAGAUUUAAUGUCUUCAUCAAACCUACCCCCGUAAAUGUGACUUAUGUUUCAUGCAUAUUCAUCUUCCCUAGAUAGAUGAGUAUGCAUAACAAAACUAGUAUAUAUAUUAAGUAACUCCAUGUUAAAGAAGUGCAUGAAUUACAUAUCUUACAUUUUUUAUCAAAUUUGAUCCUUUUUUUUUUUUAUCAAGCUUGAUCCUUAUUUUAAUGCUUAUAAUUUUCUCCAAGAUAUAUAAAAAAAAAACUAAACCAACAUUGAUAUUAAAAAACAUAUUGUUUAUGAGUUACAUGCGUUAGCCCAGUAGAAAUAGCGGACAGAUUAACUCAAUAUUUGACAGUCUUUGGUUUCUAAUUUUCAUAACAUUUGUUAAAUGGAUAAGAUUCAUCACGUUACUUCUUAGUAAUGUGUAUGCAUCAAUGUUCAAAAACAAUAUCUACUAAAGUAGGGGUCAUACUACAGAGUAAUCUAUUGUUUUGUUGCUAACUAUAUAUAAUUUUUGACCAACGUAUAUAGAAUAUUUGACCAACCUUAUCAAUUGAUUAAUUCGUUGAUCUUGGGUCCCUGGAUGGAAAAUAUCUUUGUUCCCAAAACUAGUUUUUAAGACAAGUUUUUAUUUUGAGAAAUGAUAUUUUGACAAGACAAUCUAUGUGACAAUUUUAUCUCUCAUACUCAUAUUAUUUUUUUACUUUCUCUCUAUUACUUUGGUUUCCGUGUCACUAUUACUUUCCUUUGUAAAUUAGUGGUUGUCACAAAAAUUGUCACUCAAAUAGUUGUUCAAAUAACGCACCUCAUUUAUUUUUAUUUUUAUUUAGAAUGGAAAAGAUAUUUGUUCCCAAACCUGGUUUUUAUGACAAGUUUUGUUUUUUUGUUUUAGAAAAUGCCAAUUUUUUUAGCAUAAAGGAUUACAUACAUCAUCCCAGUACGUAUUCAUUAGUGUUACUAAUAUCACUAAUCAAUACUUGAAAAGAAACUGAUCAAAUUUGAACUUCACUUGAGAGAAAUACUGAACAUAACCAUAUCUCUACUUUAAUGAACAAAUACUUUCUGAGAACACCCUCCCUUUGAAAACCAGCCUUCUUCAACACCCUCAGAGAAGCCACAUUUUCCAUUAAAUGCAACUUCAACCACUUGUAUCACAAUUAGUUUGGCAAUCCCUUUGCCCCAAUACAUGGAACAUAUAACAUAGCAAAGUUCAUCAAAUUUGUUCCUGCAUCUAUCUGAACACGACCAGAAAUCGAUACACCCUAUUACUCGAUCGCGAAGGCAUAUAGCUCUGAACCUUAGAGAUUUGCUUGCUAUGUUUUGGAUGAAGCCAAUACCUUCUUCUUUGUUUGAAUAAGGUUUCCCAAGUGCAAUACUUGGCCACUUUUUCAUCACUAGUCACAACAAGAGAUCAUCAAGAUCGGAAAGACUAAUGGGUCGAAGAGAUAUUUGAGUCAAGUCAACAACACGCUCUUUGGCAUGUGAGAUAUUGUUCGAUUUGUCUAAAUAUAUAUUUUUAAAAUAUUAAACUUUUAUAAUUUUUUACAUUAAAUAAUUAAAGAUAUUAAAAGUUAAAAUUAUACAUUGACUAAAGUGAUUGCGUGCGACAUCAUCAUCAGUUUUAAAAUACAUGUCAAUGGAGUAUGAUGUAGUAUAUUAAAAAAUUAAAACUCUAAGGAUUAGAUCAAUGGAGAUUCAGUUAUGAUAAGGAAAGUUUUAGGCAUGGCAAUUUACUUUAGUCAAAAAAGGAAUAGUCCAAACUUGGGAGCCAAACCCAAAAGGUAGUUUUGUUUUGGAAAUUGGGUAUUCUUUUCAAGAGAGGCAUGUAUGUAUUAUUGGACACCUAGGAAUUCAAAGGUAAUACGGGCGGCGCUUGAGACUAAAAACAAAACAAAACAAAAAAAUGAAGAAAAAUAUCCCAACCUCCUAGUGAUGGAAGCUAUUAAUAAUGAAUAAAAGAAAAUCUUAACCCCAAAGUCUAAACUCUAAACAUACUUAGCAUUUAGCAACAUAAAAGACAUGUUAAUGGUAGCUUCUAGCUUUCUACUAACAGUUAAAAGCAGUGAGGGGAAGGGAGACAUCAGCAGCAUGGCCAAGGCAACACCAUAAAAUUGGGUAAGCUGCCAUUGUUUUUAAAGACAUGGAUUGAAUGGUAGCUCAGAGCCAAAAGGACCUCAAAGGCAAAGCAUCCACUGGCACCAUACCUAUCAUCAAUCUAUGGAAUCAAACGUCACAUUGCUUCAUAUAAAAUUAUACUCCUAAAUGAGAAACUCUAUUGUUAUUUUUUCCCCCUCUUACAUAUUAGUAUGUUUGCUUUUAUUAUUAUAUAAUGAUAAUAAUAAUAUAUAAAUGUUUUUUAAAAUCGGAUGAUUGAAAUGACAAGACCUUCAAAUCAUGGUUCAAUUAGUUUAAUCUGAUUGAUUUUUUUUAUUUUAUCACAACCUCGAUUGAAUUAGAUAUCAAACAUAUACUGGUAAUAAAUUAAUAAAAAACAUAAAAAUAAAUGAAAAAUACAAAAACUAUAAAUGGUUUGAACUAAACUAUAAUUCAACCUAGUUCAACCACUGUUGUUCAAUCAAAAUCAAACAAAAAAGAUAAACCAAACAGGUGCACUGUUAAAGUUUUAAAACAGUAGUACAAAGCAAUGAAAUGUCAUUACCAGAAUGCUUCUCUUCCAAACAUUCCCUGUCCAACAAAAGAAAGGGAAAAAAAAAACACAAUAACAUUAUUAUUUACAUUACACAAGACCCUUUAUCUUUAUUUUAUCUCUUUAACUGCUUUUGCUUUAAUUGUAAGACCGAAAAUGUACUAAAACUGUAGAAAGAAUGCAGCUACAGGAUCCUAUUAGGUCUCACUUCAUACUUCACACAUUUCACAAUGACAACAACAACAACUCCUCUCCACUUUGCUGACUAAUAGGGCAGCCUUUGUCCAACUGACCGAGUCGUUUAUACAGAAACCUUAAAGCUAUAAUAUCCUGCCCGUUGCCCCCUUUGUCUCGGGCUAAGGUUGUCACAACUAAACUUAGUGGCUCUUGUCAACUAGUAUCCCGAUCACUUUUACAUAAAAACUUAAUUGUUUUAAUUGCUUAAUCAAUGUCUUUAAACUACUAUUUAACAUUCUUCAAACUUAAUUUAACGGAAAACUGAUACAUGAAAUAUCCAUUUUCGUACAUAUGCACGAUAUUUGGUUAGUUACGGUAAAAAAUAUGAUUAAUUUAGGUCCCGUUUGGAUUGACUUAUUUUGAACUUAUAUGAGCUUAUCUACUUGCAUAAGCCUUUUUAAAGGUGUUUGGGUAAAUAAAUAAAAAUAGCUUAUCAUAGUUUCAUAAACUGCUUAUGCCAUAUUUUAAUAAGCCUAAAUUUUCAGCUUACCCUCCGGCUUAACAAGGAGCUUAUGAAUUUAUGUAACUUCCUUCGAUUCUCUCUAGAUCCACUUUUUCAAAACAUAUAUUUUAAUUAUAACUUUUUUUGAAGGAAUAUUUUAAUUAUAAUGUUAUUUAUCUUUGGUGCUGCAUGAGUAACAAAAUUGCUAUAUACUUAUCUUACUAAAGUAACACAUGCAACUAAGAAUUUUUUUUUUUGAAGAAAUAUUUUUAUUAUUUUUUUGUUACGUAACAAAAUGAAACUGAAUAAAAAAAACAAACUUAACUUGUCUUUUUUUUUGUAACAAACUGUACACUAAUAUCUAUAUAUAUGAUAAGUUUAUUUACACCUCUAAUGUUAAUUUUGUCUUAUAUGAAUAUUGAUAUUUUUUUAAGGAUAAAUAUUGAUUAUACUAUAUAUAUAUAUAUAUAUAUAUAUAUAUAUANNNNNNNNNNNNNNNNNNNNNNNNNNNNNNNNNNNNNNNNNNNNNNNNNNNNNNNNNNNNNNNNNNNNNNNNNNNNNNNNNNNNNNNNNNNNNNNNNNNNNNNNNNNNNNNNNNNNNNNNNNNNNNNNNNNNNNNNNNNNNNNNNNNNNNNNNNNNNNNNNNNNNNNNNNNNNNNNNNNNNNNNNNNNNNNNNNNNNNNNNNNNNNNNAAACAUAAAUAGCUUAUCAAGUAUAAGAGCUUAUGAUGUAAGCUCUAAUGUUAUAAGCUCUAAUGCUAUAAACAUCUAUAUAAACUGUUUAUCCAAACGGGACCUUAGUUGAAUAAAGUGAAUUGAAUUAAGGGUUAGUCAAUUGAAUUUGAGAUAUUCUUCUAUAGUCACAUGACAAAAUGAAUAACGUUUAAACACACACAUACACAAUUUUAUCUCCAAAAUAUUAAAUAAUUUUUUUAUAUUAUUAAAAAUAAUCUUUUUAUGUAUGUGACUGAGCGCUAUUCAUUUGGUAAUACUUCAAUUAGAUGACACAUUUGGUGUAAGAAAAAAGAGUCAUGUCCAUGAAACAUACUCCCUCAGUCCUAAAUUGUAUGUCGUUUUAAGAAGAAAAAAAAUUGUCCCAAAUUAUACGUCGCUUUACAAUACCAAUGCAACAUUAAUGUUACUUUUCUUAUUAUAACCUUAACUAUUUAUUACUAUAUUUUCUUUCAAUUAUCUUUCCCAUAUUAUUUAUUAAGAACAAUUUUGUAAAACAACUCAUAAUGUUUUUUUUCCACACAAUAUAUGUAAAAUGCCCAAAACAUCAUACAAUUUAGGACGGAGAGAGUAUUUGUUAAUUUAAUAUUAAUAAAGGUCUUGUAUGGUCUCUUUUACUGUGCUUUAUUCUGUUCAAAUUCGAUACUUUGUUUGCUAUGUUUGUUACAUAGAACGAGGAGAUUGCUUUCUCUUUCUAUCUCUAACCUUACUGCAUUGUCUUGUUCUACUUAUUACUUCAGAAUCUCUUCUCACUUCCAUGCAUUAUUCUUAAAGUGCUAUUCUUGUUCUCUCUCUUAUUUAUGGGAAUUUGCUUCAUUCUUCUUCUUCUUCUUAGUACACUUUUAAAUAUUAUAGUAUAGCAAGAUCAUACAUAGCACUUACAAGAAGAUAACAAGGAAACAAAUGAACUUGGUCUUGUUUCUUAACUCAAAAUAUCACUGAAAUAUCAGAAACUGGCUUGGGAGUUGUAGAAACUUGCUAGGGAGGUGUAUGAAGUAGAAGUGUCAAAAUGGGAGAUGAGAAUUCCAAGAACACCAAGGUUUUUGACAAUUAUUAUUAUUUCAAUAUUUUAUUAUGCUGGUGUUUGCAUAUUGCAAGUUGUUAACUGUUAUGUCUAUAUGUUGUUUGAUGAAUUAGCUCUCAUGGUCAAAGAAAAUGGUUAGAAAGUUUUUUAAUUUCAAAAGCAAAUGUGAAGAUAUUCAAGCAGAUGCUGUUGUUUAUGGAGGUUAGUAUCUUUGUUUUUUCUUCAAAAUUCACUUUUUAAUAGUGAUCAAUUUCAACAAUUUAUUCUUCAAUUAUUAUCUUUGUUGAAUAAUAAGUUAGAUUGCUACAAUUUCUUGGCAUCCAAAUAAACUCAGUUACUGUUUUCCUUCUUUAGGAGGUGAGGUUGAAUAUGGAAGUAGGAAUAGCUUCUCUGAGAGAGAACCAUGCACAAUCAAAAAGAGCAAAACAGGUGAACCAUUUCUUGAAUCAUGUCCUUUUGAAGUUCUUCUUGAUGGUAUCAUUUAAAAUGCUGAUAUUUAUAUUUGCACAAAUUGUUUAUAACCCUUCAUUGCUAUGAACAGAGAAGUUUAGCAGGAGCACGAGUCAGGUUAGGCGAGGAAGAAUGAAUCUUGACCAUCCUCGAAUUAUCGAUGUGCAGAACUAUAGGUAUCCUACUUCAAUUUUACCAAGAAAAAUAAAAUAAAAGGCUUUGUUCUGUUUCUCAUGAAUUGUGAACAUUGAGCAGCAUUUUUGUAGCAACAUGGAAUGUAGCUGGAAGAUCCCCACCAAGUAAUUUGAGUGUAGAUGAUUGGCUUCAUUCCUCACCUCCAGCUGACAUUUAUGUUCUUGGGUAAGAAUUGUUGCUUGACGACAUUUAUAGUCUUCUCCCGAAAUUGGCAAUAAUUGUUCGGUUAAAUAUGUUUUUAGUUCAUAUAAUUAUCUCAAAUUCUGCUUUUAGUCCCUACUCACACUUCUGAGUCUCUACAAAUUACAAAACUGCAUGAUUUUAGUCUCUAAAGAGGGACUACAAGUAUAAGGUUUUGUGAUUUGUAGGACUGAAAAGUUGGUACAGGGACUAAAACAAAAAAAAAAUGUAAAUUUGAUAGCGACUAAAAUAUAUUUAACCCUUAACUGCUUUAUCGAAUGACAUAUUUUUCUAUUCUGAAUCUUUACCUUUCUCUUGCAGAUUUCAAGAGAUAGUUCCGUUGAAUGCCGGUAAUAUCCUAGGGGCAGAGGACAAUGGCCCUGCCAAAAAAUGGCUGGCUCUUAUCAGAAAGACUUUAAACAAUCUUCCUGGAACCAGUGGAAGUAGUGGAUGCUAUACACCGUCUCCAAUUCCUCAGCCAGUUGUAGAGCUGAAUGCAGAUUUUGAGGGAUCAGCUAGGCAGAAGAAUUCGUCUUUCUUCCACAGGCGAUCAUUCCAGACAACUUCUAGUGGUUGGGGAAUGGACAAUGAUCCUUCACUUGUGCAACCACAAGUUGAUCGAAGAUACAGUGUUUGCGAUCGUGUAAUUUUCGGUAACAGGCCUAGUGACUUUGAUCCUAGUUUAAGAUGGGGUUAUAGGCCUAGUGACUAUUCAAGGGCAAGUGACUACUCGAGACCGAGUGACUAUUCAAGAUGGGGAUCGUCUGAUGAUGACAAUGGCCUUGUGGAUUCACCGAGUACAGUCUUAUAUUCACCAAUGUCCACUAAUGGUGGAUCUGCCUCUAAUGAAGAUGGAUAUAGCAUGCCAGGACAUUCAAGGUACUGCCUCGUUGCAAGUAAGCAAAUGGUGGGAAUCUACCUUACCGUAUGGGUGAAAGGCGAACUGAAAGAUCAUGUCCGAAACAUGAAAGUAUCGUGUGUUGGCAGAGGAUUGAUGGGAUAUCUAGGAAAUAAGGUGAAUUUUUUAACUCAUUCAUAACAAUCCUAACUUCUGUUUUUCUUUAGAGUAAUUUAUUUUACGGUGAAAAUGAUGGUUACUUAGGAUUGGCUUAUAUGAGAGUUAUUUUGGUUGGAUUUUGCAGGGGUCCAUCUCAAUUAGUAUGUCUGUGCACGAAACAAGCUUUUGCUUUAUUUGCAGUCAUUUAACCUCAGGACAGAAAGAGGGUGAUGAACUAAGAAGAAAUUCUGAUGUUAUGGAGAUUCUUAAAAAGACAAGGUUUCCUCGUGUUCAUGGUGUUGACAACGAGAAAUCUCCUCAGACAAUCCUCGAGCACGAGUAAGAGUCUUCUCAUAUAUUCAUCUAUGAUUGAAGUCAUGUUUGAAAGAGUUUAUUUGUGCUCAUCUCAUAAUUUGACUAUUUAUAUUAGUGUUUGGAUACAUUUAUAAAAAUAGUUUAUUUCCACAAGAUCCACAGAAUAACUAAUGGUUAAUUAAGCUCAUUUGAAUAACAUAUUGAAUAAGCAUUUAAUUAGAAUGCACUCUGUAACAGUUAAGUUUAUGAUUGUCUUUUUUUCUCAUUAAGCAAAAGCUUUUGCAUUUUCUCAUUUUAAAUUCAUUACUGUAGUCGAAUUAUAUGGCUUGGAGAUUUGAAUUAUCGGAUCGCUCUCUCCUACCGUUCUGCUAAGGCACUUGUUGAGAUGCAAAACUGGAGAGCAUUGCUAGAAAAUGAUCAAGUAUGUCUCGUUCAUGUUACCAUUAACCUCAUGUUUGCUGUUUAAGUUACAUAAUAAUCCUAACUAUUGACACUCAUGGCAGUUGAGAAUAGAGCAAAAAAGAGGCCGCGCUUUUGUGGGAUGGAACGAAGGGAAGAUAUAUUUUCCUCCAACUUACAAAUAUUCAACUAAUUCAGAUCGAUACUCAGGAGAUGAUAUGCACCCCAAGGAAAAAAGGAGAACACCUGCUUGGUAAGAUUAUCACAUCACCUAAUAGGAUUUUAUAAAAUGAAGUAUGUUUCAUGAUAUAUGAUAUAAUUUUAUUAAACUGUUACAACCUACGAAGACAUGAACAUUUUUCUUUUUAUAGGUGUGACCGUAUUCUAUGGUAUGGAGAAGGACUCCAUCAAUUGUCUUAUGUUCGCGGUGAAUCAAGAUUUUCAGACCACCGACCUGUUUAUGGCAUAUUUUGGGCUGAGGUUGAGUCACCUCACGGAAAAUUGAAGAAAAGUAUGAGUUGUUCUCAGUCAAGAAUUGAGUUGGACGAACUUUUGCCAUAUUCCGGUGGAUAUACUGAACUAAACUUUUUCUAAAGAAGGGAAGGUUGAACAGGAGACGUGUCCAUCCAUAUUCAAGUACCUUUUCUAUCCCUUAUAGACUCUCAUAAUCAUGAUUUUAAGAUAGUGGAAAUUAAGCAACUUAGUGUUUGUACUUUUUUUUUCUUUUUAUAAGCUCAUUCAAAUACAACAUACAAAUAGAAAAACAAAAAACUAUGUGCAGGACCCUAAGCAAACAUGACCCUGCCCCAAAAGGGGUCCCAAGCUUUUCUUUAUAAUAUUGUUGGUUAGACCAAAAGUACAAGAUUCUGAGGCUGUAACUGAUUUAUAUGGACUUGAACAUAAUAGAGUGGAGUAGUGGAUCAUUGCAUCAUGCAAUGAAUACAUACAGCCUAAAGAAUAUACCUAUAUGAUCUUUGACAUUAGUCUGCUUGUAUUUACUUAACCGAGCUUAUCUAUUGUUAUCAUCAGGCUCAGCACUUGUGAGACUGCUUGCGAGAGUUAUAAACAACUUAUGACUUGUCUAUAAGUUGCUUUUAACUUAUUUCCAUUAGCUCUCCAAGAUUGCUUAUGUAAAAAGUUUCUAGCGUAUGCAUAAGCACUUAUGCCAGAAGCGCUCAAUUAAUUUGAAAGGCAACAUAAACAAACUAUUUUUACAGUAUAGUCUGAAAAGUCAAUAUCUCAUUCUCUUAUACAUUGAAAGUCCUUUUGUUCUUUUCUUAUUGUCAUUAGAAUUAUUCUUUUCACUUGAAUUAGAAAUCUUACAUGCGCCUGUUACUGUUUCAGAAAAUGGUCCCCUUUUACCAAUAGGGAUUUUACUUUGAAGAAAUACUUUCAUGGAGGGAGAUAGAUAGGGACAACCCAUUUCCCAUAUACCGAAAAAGGUUAGUUUUUCUUCUCUCUUUCAUGCUUUUCUUUGUGUUCUGCUUUUGCCUCAUUUCUUUGUCUAAUUUUGCCUUCACUUUAUCUUUUUCAGUUUCUAAUCUCUAGUUUUGGUGCUUUGCCUAACACAUGAUAUGAUCAAUACAACACAUCAUCUUGAUACCAAAUUAACAAACACUUGAGUUUCCACUUUAACAAUCAUUAGGUAAUACUGCAUUGUUAUUAAAUAUUAAAGUAUUAAUACUAGUUUAUGUUUUAUCUUAAUUAAGAACAAUAUUUACAUGCUUACUAAUGAUUAAUUUUUUUAUUUUAUUAUGCAGGUAGUUGAUGAAGAGGAUUUUUUUAUUCAAUAUUUUUUAAUUGUUUUUAGGGAAUAUUUAUGAUGACUGAAUGUAGUUGAAAGAUUGUCAGAAUAAUCAUUUGUGCACUAACUUUCUUUUUUAAUGUAAUGUAAAGAGAAUGAGAGUUUUGAUGUAUAGUGGAUUGCUGCAACAAUAUAAUUGAGUAAAGAAAAGGAACAAAAAAGAAAUUGAAGUUCAUUAUAUAGAUUCCAAAAACUCUCUUGUGCUGAGUUCUCUGUCUAUGUCUGCAUGAUAAUUUUUGUACUGAUAAAGUUGGUUUUGACAUCAAAAUCAAAUAGUAAAGCUCUUCUUUUUACUAAUAAGGAACAGUAUUCGAGUAUUUAACAAACCAAAAGAGGCAUGCAAUUUUGGCGGGAAUAAUAAUUGUUGGAGGCUCUAAUACAAUAAGGCCCUACAACUCUUUGAAGAUGCUAUUUACAUUCCUUUCAAUUGCUGCUGCUGGUGUUUACUUUUGACUAGGUGGACUUUAGCUACUUUACAUUAUCAUCUGUUUUGUUGUUUUGUGUGUAUCUAUUUAAGAUCCCUAAGAAAAGUAGAAACAAUAACAGUUGCAGAAAAAGACUAAUGCUAAAUCAUUAUUUGAGUAAUACUAGUUCCUAUUCAAUUUUGUGGCUGAUUUUUGCUCAUGUCACAGUUAAGAAUCAUUCAUUCAUGAGAUCUCAACAGUUCAACUACUUUGUCUGUAUGCCUUCUAGAGAGCCACUUCAUACCACUCAAAUGCGUGUGAACUUGAGAACCCGUGCAAUGCGCGUGAGAAAUUUGUCGAAAGAAUUUACGUCAGUUAUGAAUUUUAAUUUGUUGUGUUUGGUUAUUGAAUAACAAAAACACUUAACAGUAAAUCAGUAAAUCACAGUAUCACAAGAGACAUACAUCAGUGUUGUCUGUCAACUGUUAAAUACACCUUUUAUAAAACUAAACAUAACAUCAAAACACAACAAUAAUAUUUAAGAAGAAAAUGUGGAUACAUAACAUGCAAUAUCAAAAAAUUAGUUGUGUAAUACUAACUGGUUACUAAAUAUGUCACAAUGCAUACAGCCAACAGAAGUUACUGGUGAGGACUGAGGAGGGUAAACUAAGUGCUCUGCAAUCCACAAUAAUUACUUCAGGGUAUUGUUUUAAAAGCAUUUUCAUAAAAAGAGAGAUAAUUGUACACAAAUGUGAUGUGAUGAUAGGAGUUAGAGGUGGCUUAGCUUUGGUGUUCAGGAUUGGGAGUUUAGUCUUGAGGGUUUUUUUUCUUUGGGGGUGAGUAGUGACGAUGGGCAGUGUUGGAUAUCGGUGGUCGUUUUCGUGAAGGAGUCUGUUUUAGGUGGUGACGUGAAUUUUGGUGGGUGUUGUCCUCGGGGGUGUUUUUUAGGGUGUUUAUUUUCGGGUGUUCCGCCUACAUACGGGCGCCUUUUGUUUGUAUGCUCAAUUUCACCAAUCUCUGUUCGUCUUGAGCAAGAAUUUGGUUGUUUAAUAAAAUUUGCAUGUGAUAUGAUGAUAUAUUUUGGCAACAUGAGCUUAGUGUCCAUUGUGAAAUGGGAAAAUAAUAAUAAAAUGUACUAUCUUCAGUCGCUUGAAUAAUGGAUCAUUAACUUACAUGUAAUACUAAUAACUCAAUUGUUGCAAAUUGUGACAACUUGAUAACUGGCCAUGUUUGAAGGUGACAACCUAUAAGUUUCUUAGUGAGAAGAUAAUCCAUCUGAAAGCCACUUAACAUAACUAAAAACAGUCUCUAAGCCUUUAAUAAGGGGUCAUUAGUUUGAGUUUCUUGGGAUAAAGGUUAACCAUGCUUAUAUAAGAGGGGAGUGGUUUCUCUUCAUUUAUUUAAAAAUUAAGUUUCCUAUAGUUAAAAGUAAUUGAUCAAGGGGCUAUGAUUAGUGAGCUUCAUAUGAAAAAUCCUUUACUAUAAACUGGAUGGUUAAUUAAAAAAAAAGUAAUUGAUUAAGUUCAUUCUAAAGUUCAUGAAAGCAUUAUAACUACCUUUGACACCCUGUUGUUUUACAUGCAUCCUAUAAUUAUGCUAUAAUUUACAAUCAAGUCCAUUCAAUUCCAUUCAACUACUAACACAUGCAUGGGUGGCAUCUGAUGUGGCUUAGUUCUUAUCUAAUUUAAAUCAAACAACAACUUUGACACAUUGUCUAACUUUAUGUCACAGCUAUACAAUGUGUCGAGUAUAAAACAGAUAAAUCAAAAGAGGCAUGGCUGUUAUAUUCCUGGUCUAAACUGCAAUAUAUAAAAGAAAAGAAAAGGUUUCAUGGGAUUUUCAUUAAUAGUUUGAUAGUGAAUCUCACAAUUCAUCAAAUAUAUGUUGUUGAAACCCAAGAGCAUUUUGAGCAUCUUCAAUGAAGAUAUUUAUGCAAGUUUUAUAGAAUGAUGAAUCUUUUUUUUUCUUUUUUCUUUUUGGAGGAACUAUGAUGCGACUGUAUGGGUAGAAGAUAAAUAGUUUAAAUAAGCUACCGUUGCAUACGAAAAAUCAUUCAAAAUGAGUUACAUAAAAGUUGAGUGCAAAUAAAAAAACCAUAAAAACUGAGUUUCAUAAAGUUGUUUAAUUUAUUAUCAUUGGAGUAAAAUAUGUUUGAGUUGCAUAAGUGUGAUAUGACAUUGUGGGAGCCACUUAAUAUUAUAAAAGAAUCAAAUUUGUGUUCCUUAUAAACUUGUAAUUGAAGAUGCUUUUAGAUGAGAUGCUAAAGGAUCUCUCUCAAUUAAACUCGAGAUCAUAAAUUCGAAUCAAGUUUUGCCGGAGAACAUGAGUUCGAAUCAAUUAAACUGGAGAUCGUUAAAUUUUUUUAGAGAGAACUUUUCCGUUUUUUGCAGUGCAACCCAACUCAAUGGAUUAGUCUAAAUAGUUGCGCGCAUGAGAUACACGUUCACACACAAAAAAAAAGUAUGUUGUUGAAGAAGCAACAUUUCAUAACGACAUGGGCUUGUCUCAAUCUUGGUCAUAGCUUUGGAUUUUGUUUGUAAGUAGCAACUGGUGGGAAAGAAUUUGAAAGGACUCUGUAUGAACUGAAAAAGAUAAUUGGCGUCCUAUGACUUUAAUUUCUUGGUGCUUCUGCACAGCUUUAGUCAUGGCCAUUUUGUUAGACUUUUGCUUUUGUACUUAGCUCUCUUCGUUCUCAUAUAUUAUAUACUAACAUGUUUAGGACCACACCUUUAUUCUCUGAAAUUCUUCAUCUUUUUACAGAUAAUAAUUAACUAAGAUGUUGUGCUGACACCAGCAUUUACAGUCCGGGAAUCAUAUAUUUCUCUGUGAAUUCUGAUGCAACAAUUUCUACAAAUGAUUGUUUACAACGAUCUCAGAGAAAUGUUUGCAUUAUGCCAAACAAAGUCACUGAGUAACCAGAGUUUUCAUAAGUAAUUUGCAAAAAGUUUAUUCAUGCUGUUUCACAAUCAUGUGAAAUCAUGAUAACUCUAAUUUGAAGGUUGUUAAGGGACAUUUUCUUCAAAAUAAACUGGAACUUGAUUACAAUUUUGUGGGUUGGGUUGGGUAAUUGAGUAAUUAUAGUUUUAAAAAUAAAAAAUUCAUAAAAAAAUAAAAGAUUUUGGGUAAAAUCAGACUCAAAUUCAAAAAACUCACUUAUUUAAUAGGGGAUUUCUAUGGUACACCCGUAAAUUACGGUCUACCGGUACUCUCACUUACAAUUUUUAUAAAUUAACUAUCAUUUUUUAUGAAGAAAAUAGGUGUUUGUUGACAUAUAUAUUUUAGAAAAUAUCAUUUUAUAUGAAAAAAAACAUCAUUUCAUUUUUUUAUAAAAAUAAUACUAAUUUUUUUACAUUUAUUGUAAAAAAUACUCAAAAUUCUCUAUUAUGAGUAAUAAGAAUUCAGAAAAAUCAAAUUUUAUUGCGUUGAUGUUUUUGGUAAAUAAGAUUUAGUUAUUAUAAUUACAGGUGAUAGAAAAUAAUUUUUUCCCACAAAAAAUAACUCAUUUAACUAUUAAUUUAAGGAUUUGGUAUACCAAUACACUCAAAUUGUUAGGUGUACCAUAGAACUUGCCUAUUUAAUAAUGUCAACAUAUUUAUUUUUAUUACCAUUUGUGAAGAAAGAGAAUACAAACUAUUUUAGUCCUAAAUCAAAUCUAAUUUUCAAAAUUGACACAAGUCUAUAUUGAAAAUAAAAACAUGCUAGAGUUACAAAUUCAGAUGUUGUACUUUUUGGUUAUUGUAAUGAUAAUGCAAUUUUAUGUCAAGUAACUUUAAUUUGUUGCAAGUAUUUUAUGAGAUUUAUUAUUUGGUAUUAUCAUUUUAUUAUUUUUAUACGUAAAAUAUAGUGAAAAUAAGUUACACAAUUAAAAAAAAAAAAAUUGGGUAUUUUUUUAUGAAAAAAUAUGAGGAAUCAUCGUUUAGUCAUUUAAUAUUAAAAAAAACUGAAAAAUAAAUUGGUUAACCCUCUAAUCCAACCCAACUCAAAUCGAAAAUUAAUGGGCUUAUCCAAACCGACCCUCACCCAAACCGACCCACGUACAUCCUAACGGGAAGUGCUAUCACUAACAAAAUACUCUAUCCGUUUCAAAAUACAUGUCCAUUUUGGAGAAAUUGCAGUAACCAAGAAAUUAAAUAAAUUUUGUUAUUUUUGAUGAAAUUAUGUGUGUGUUUUCUAUAAUACCCUUAACCAUUUAUUUUUUCAUUCUAUUUUUUUUCUCUCUCUACAAUAAAUAUGUAAGAGUAUUAUUGACAAGAAAAUAAUUAAUGUUACAUUGAAACUUGAAAGUGAUAAGUAUUGUGAAACAAAAUUAUUCUUCAAAAUGAACAAGUAUUAUGAAACGGAGGAGUAGUAGGUAAUUUGACUUGAAUAAAUGAAAUUAAUAUGUGAACACACAUGUUUGUUAACUAAGUUCGGUCAUACAUAUCCCACGUCUAGGGAUGGCAAUUGAACUCAGGCCCGAUGAGCACCCGCAAAAAAUACCCAUAAUGGAUAGGAUAAAAUUCCGCUUUUAUGGGUAUGGGUUUGGGUUCGGAUAAUUAUCAGCAAAUUUAGAUGGGUAUGGGUGUGGGUAAGGGCACUAUACUACCCAGCCCCGCAACCCGCAUAUACAUAUUUAGAUAAUAUAAUAAAUAUUUUAUUUAUUUUUGGUGUACAAUUAUUUAAUUUAUUUAGCUAUUUAAGCAUAAACCUAAACCUAAAAAGUAAUACGAUAACCGUUUCAUCCUUACCUUCAUAAGACCACGAGAUAAAAAUUUAUGAUUUAAAUUAAUUUGAUGUGUUAUUUAGCAUGCACUUUUUUAUAUAUAUUUUGAAUGUUUUUAUUUUAAUUUCGAGGAAUAUUUUGAAUGUUUUUUAUUUGACUAAAUACUACGAUUUUUACUAUUUUAUGAGUUGUUUUAAAAAAAAUUGAAACAUAGUUUUAUUUCAAUUGUGAUAUUUUUUAUUAUCUUUUAUAAUUAAAGUGCUGGUAAUGGGUAUGGGCACCUAGGUGCCCAUAGGGUAUGAGCACUUAGGUGCCCAUAGGGUAUGGGGAAUGACACUAAAGUUGUUACCCACGAGGAUACGGACUCGGGUACAGGCGUUUUUUACAAACGAGGGUAUGAAAAAAGUUACUAUAAUACCCUAUCCAUUGGAUAUCCAUUACCAUCCCUACACGUUUGUUACCGCCGAGCAGCUGCAAUUCCUUUAUAUUGUCAAUACCUAUGAGUGAUACUCAAUAAAUUGGAUGAAGAAUAAUUACAAAAGUAUUUUGGAUAUUAACAUUGGGUGUAUAGGCCUUAGACGUUGUUUAAUAUGUCUUGGUGUUUUGCUCUGUUAAUUCUUAAAAAAAAUAAUCAAAUAUAAAACUUCUUUUCUAUACUUAUUGUUACACUUCAGCAAGCAAUUCUAAUAAGAAGCAAAUAAGUAAUCUUAAACUUCAUUCCUCAAAAAAAAAAAAAAAAAGUAAUCUUAAACUUCAUGUUGCCAUUAUCCGUUGUUUAACAUGCCUCUUUUUGCUCCUUAAAAAAAAAAAAUGCCUCUUUUUAUCUAAUGUGAAACUUCUUUUUUACACUUAAAGUUACAUUUAUGUGCUAAAAGAAUACAAUUUUCGUAUGAAAUAGAGCAGCUGGUGGCUUGAAAAUUGCUCUUCUCACCAUGAAAAUACUAAAAUACCCUUCCGAUGGCAGUUACUGCUGCUAGCUCUAAUGCCAUUAGCCCGCGACAGUUAACUACUAUAGAGUAUUUUGAUAUUUUCACGGUGUUUGGGAGCAUAAAUGAUAGUGUGAGAAGAGCAAUUUUCUAGUGGCUAUAAGACGAUGGGCUUUUAAUUUCUAAGGCUAUGUCCUCAUUUUUAAAACUCAAAAAAUAUUUGGGCCCAGUUUUAUACACACCCCACGUAUAUACCAGGUUGAUGGACGAUGGUGUAUUGUCUAGAAAUUCAUGUUCAAAUUGGACAAAAAUUAAUUCAGCGUCAGCAUUAUUUUGGAUUGACAAAGUUGACCUAUUAGCAAGCUAAUCACAUUUCAAUUACAUUGAAGUGGUUUUUAAUUAGAUUUGAAUUUGAGUCAUUGAUAUUUUAAAUAGAAGUGAUUUUUGUUGGGCCACAUGAAAGACUAAUGCACAAUAAUCAUCACAUAGACCCAAGAACAAUCGCACAUUUGGGCAACAAAUCUUCAUAAAACAUUCAAUAGAGAGUGCUAAAUGAUACUAUAAACUACAUGUAGACAAGCUGGACAUAUACUAUGCAAAAAAAGCUUAUGACCUGGUCUAGCCUAUAUCACAUUCUGCACUAGAUAUAUUAUACACAAGAAACGCAGAGAAAGGAUAUACAUGUGGGAAUGGAAAUGGAAAAAUGAUGGUGCAUGAAAAAUAAGAUUAUUCAGGAUAAUACUGCUAUAAUAUAUAUGAUUCCCCACCGUCAAAGGUACAAUACCAACAGAAAAGUGAGGAUUAGUAACUUUUUCUGUAUAUAAUAACCAAAUUUACAGUAAUCGUACAAUACUUCAACAACUCUCUGAUUUUUACUCUCUCGAGGCUAUUAAUAUGACUACUCUACUAGUAUUCUAAAGGAGUAAUCAUUCUCUCUAUAUCCCUAGUUCUCUUUAUCUCAAGGUUAUAGUAUUAUUUAUUUAUCAUCAGUUCCUUUUGCAGUGAUUUGAAGUCCAUAUCUGCAACUUAAAUUAUUUGGCAGUGUAUGUAUGAAUCAAUAUGCAUUUAAUUUGCUUUAUUUAUAACUCUGGUGGUUUUGUAAGCUUCUACUAUAUGUUUCAUGUUUACUAAAAAUUAUCUUACCAAUUGAGAGUACAACAUUUCACUGUUUGGUGCAUGACACGCAUUUCUCUCCUAGUAUGUUAUUUUUGUCGCUGAUUAAUUGGCCAUAUGUCAACAUUUCAAUUUUUUUGUUAGUCAUUAUCAACCUUCAUUGCAAAAGACUUGCACUGUUUCAUACUAUUUUUGCAUGAUAAUAUUCCAUCCUGUUUUUAUAUUUUGUCUAAACUAAGCAUGUUUUUAUUGUUGUAUAUCCAAAUCCAAAAUAAAUAACCCACAGAAAAAAGAAAAAAAAACUUCUUGUCCAUAUCUCUUUUGCUAUCAAGCAAAUUGAAAGCUUAUCAAUUUUUAAUAUUAAGGGUGAGGAAGAUUCAAAAACAUUGGGAAAAAAGUUGGUGGAAUUCAGCAGAACCAGUUUUCUUUUUCUUGGUCUUGUUGAUUUUUUGUUGGUAGAUUGAUUUCUUGGUCGUAUCAUAACAUGUAUUUAUCUGUUACAAAUUAUAGUUCACUAUUCUCAAAUGUUACUCAUGAGUGUUUCGGGAAGUUUGUUGCUCGUCAAAUUCAAUUGGAUUGCAUCUUCUUGGUAAUGCCCUCCUCUCAUCUUUAUACCUUUGCUCUUUUCUUAUUAGUCUAAAUUUAAUACUGUCUAUUUCUAAGCUUUCUUGAAAAUUAUUUAUAAGCCAAGUAUUUAUGCAGCAAAAAUUUAUGCUUAAGUAAUGCCAAAAAUAAGGAGUCUGACUUUGCUCCACUUACAUGUAUGUCGUCUAUUUAUUGUUCAUUUAUAAGAGAUAUAUAUGAGAGAGAUAGUCACGAUGGAAAGAUUAACGGGAACAUUGAAGUCCACUUAUUAAAAUGGGUCUCAAUAAUCUCUCAUUUGUGUAGAUCUCAACCGUAAAUAGACAAUAAAUGUAGAGUAGAACUCUAAAAAUCAUGACUUCAAUGUUUUUGCUUUCCAUUCUUUCUCCUCGUUGUAACUUGUUAGUUUAUCUUUCACUUUCUCUUAUUUUUCUUUGGUGUAUGCUCUAGACUACUCCUCAUACCAUUUUGGUUUUGAUUUGUUUUUUCGAAAAUAAAUCAAGAAAUAAUAUAUUUUGCUAUUAAAAAAUAAAAUGGAAAACAGAAGUAAUCAACUGAAAAACUAGCCUGAAUUAAAAUAGCCCCACCAAGGACCACCACACGAACCUCAGCUUAAUAAAGGGGAAACAAAUUUCAAAUACAAGGAAAUGCUAGAUUCUAAACACUAUAUAUACAGACCGCAAAUUUAAUAUAAAAAAGUAUAUAAAAAAUUCAAAACCAAAACAAUGUUUCUCAAAAUCCAAGGUGGCAUUGGGUAGGUCUAUUUGCAACUUUUGCACAAUACCUCACAAUCCAAAGAUAUUAAACAUCAAUGAAAAAUAUCCUCCAGCUCUCAGAUUUUUUUCUUUGAAAAGGAUACAUGGAUAAGGACUCGAAGCAGAACUGAAAAUCUUCUUAUGUAAUUCUCAGAGGAAAAGAAUGGUACAUGGUCUAUAUGUGCAUGUUGAGUUGUGAGGGAGUCUAAAAUAUAGAGGCACGUUGAGCUAUGAACAACAACAUGGUUGACACCAAAUAUUUACACAAAACCUUAAAAUAUUAGGUAUGUAAAUCCCCCUCUUUUUUUUAGGGAAAAUCCCUAUAUAUAUAUAUAUAUAUAUAUAUAUAUAUAUAUAUAUAUAUAUAUAUAUAUAUUGUUCAACAUUCAAAUUUUCAUCCAUGUAUGACUUAUUAAUCACAUUUGAUACUCUAACAAUACGAGAGACCUUAGUUGUACACUUGCACUAGUUAAUUUUGUGAAUUACCAAAAGAACAAAAAGUUACAACUUAUCUAUGUUUACAAUACAAGGCACUUAAUGAUCUAAUUAAAAAAAAAAAAAACUUCGAGUGUUUCGGAGAUUGACGACACUUGGAAAUGGUUAUUUGGAAAACACUCCGGUACUGCGUCUUUUUUUAUUAGUGGUUUGUAAAUCCGAUGUAUUGUUUGACUAGAUAGGAUAACUUAUAUGAUUAUCUAUAUAUAUUUUUUUUUAUGGUGGGUGUAGUGCCAAAAAUAUGGGUGCCAGUACUACUCGUACCUUUUGCCAUUAGAAGAAAAAAAAAAAAUGUUAAUCUGCCAAUACCUAGAUAUGUUUUGUUAAUAUCAAAGAAGAAUAUGUUGAUAAUGGAUAUAAGUACAAGUAAUAAACACAACCAACUAGAGUAAUAUAAAUAGUACUAAAUCCACAAGCAAAAUUUAAUACCCUACAUAUGGAAAACUUCCUAAUUACGCAUAAAAUCUAAAUGAUUCACAAACCACUCAUAAAAAAUACAAGGAGCUCCCGUCUGUCUAGCCAAAAACCAUUACCAAUAUGUAGAUAUGAAGGUGGAUGCCACUCCACUAACUAAAUUUCUUGUUUUUAAAUGAACACUAAAAAUACAUUUAUCGGCCAAAUCUCUAAGAACUUGUAACAUGCAUGUUGUAGUAUGAAUAUUGUGCUCGCGAUUUUCGGAUGUCAAACCAUUAAUUGAUUUGAAUCGUCAACCUUUGAACUCUCGAUUUUUAUUCUUGGGAAGGGAAAAAAUGAGUAAAAACCCUUAUCGAGACUUUGGAUUCGGGGGUUGGUUAUGCGAAGGGAAGGUGCUAGCACCCUAAGCAUCUACGGUAUUCCGUAGGAACCUCUUACCUNNNNNNNNNNNNNNNNNNNNNNNNNNNNNNNNNNNNNNNNNNNNNNNNNNNNNNNNNNNNNNNNNNNNNNNNNNNNNNNNNNNNNNNNNNNNNNNNNNNNNNNNNNNNNNNNNNNNNNNNNNNNNNNNNNNNNNNNNNNNNNNNNNNNNNNNNNNNNNNNNNNNNNNNNNNNNNNNNNNNNNNNNNNNNNNNNNNNNNNNNNNNNNNNNNNNNNNNNNNNNNNNNNNNNNNNNNNNNNNNNNNNNNNNNNNNNNNNNNNNNNNNNNNNNNNNNNNNNNNNNNNNNNNNNNNNNNNNNNNNNNNNNNNNNNNNNNNNNNNNNNNNNNNNNNNNNNNNNNNNNNNNNNNNNNNNNNNNNNNNNNNNNNNNNNNNNNNNNNNNNNNNNNNNNNNNNNNNNNNNNNNNNNNNNNNNNNNNNNNNNNNNNNNNNNNNNNNNNNNNNNNNNNNNNNNNNNNNNNNNNNNNNNNNNNNNNNNNNNNNNNNNNNNNNNNNNNNNNNNNNNNNNNNNNNNNNNNNNNNNNNNNNNNNNNNNNNNNNNNNNNNNNNNNNNNNNNNCAAUGACAAGAUAAAAUGAUGAGAAAAUUAAAUAUGCAUGCUAUGAUUUAAGACAAAAAUUAAAUGGUUAGUAAUCACAAGAAAUAUUAGGAUGAAUGAGACAUAAGAAAUAAUAAGCAAGAAUUAAAAUAAUAAAAAAUUUUAAGAUCAUCAUAUAAGAAAUAAUAAAAAAAAAACAAAUUAAAAGGAAAAAAAAAAAAAUAGGAUGGAUUUUUAACAAUUAUAGAAAAUUAAAAUAGUGAGAAAAACAUUUUUUGGAAUUUUUUUUCUAAACAUAAAAAUGUCAAAAAGAAUAAAAAAACAGCAUUUAAAAAAAUAAAAACAAUAACAAAUAAAAAUAAUAAAACAUUUGCUCAGCAGGAUUAAUUCUGGACCAUUGGAUUAAAUCAAUGGUCCAGGUUCAAACCCUGGAUUCAUCAUAGCCAUAGGAUCUAAGAUCCAACAGUUGGAUAAAAAAGAACAUGGAAUACUGCAGGCAAGGAACGCACAUGUGAUCUAAACAGAAUCAUCCUUGACCGUUAGAUUAAAAAUCAAUCAGUCUAGAUCUGAAGGUGUAUUAAGUGUCACCAUAGAUUGCACAUGCAUGACCGUUAGAUUAAAAAAAGACAGGAUCUAAAGGUUCAGAAAGAAGGGAAAGAGGAAUCAAAUGGACCGGUACGGUUCAGAUGAACCAGACCGGUCUGCACAUGUUUAUAAAGGGGUUUGGACCGGUUUUCUUCUUAUUUCCUCCUUUCUCCCUCUCUCUAAACAUUUUUUAGUGAGAGAAGGUCUGCAAAUUGCAGCCUUCUUCUCCGGCGAAGCAUGUAAUUUCCGGCGUGGUGGCCGCCGGCCAACAGGCGGCGCCGCCGCGCCGGAGGAACAAAACACCUCCGUUUGCAAAUUUUUUUACGUUUUUAAAGAUCCUUUUUCCUGUUUUGCAUGAAUCCCAACUUAGAUUUUUGAAAACAAGCUCCUACAAGCCUAGAUCUAACAAAGAAAAUUCAAAGAAAAGUGAGCAAAAACACUACCUCUACUCCGGUCCGGUUCGCCUCCUCUUCUCCUUCUGGUCCGGUUCUCUUUUUGCUCCGGUUCGUUGCUCUCUCUCCGAACUGGUUCGGUUUCCUUGCUCUCUCUCCGAACUGGUUCGGUUUCCUUGCUCUCUCUCUCCGAUUCGGUUUUGCUUCUUCUAUACUUUGAUUUUGUGGUUCUUUGUGUUUGUUGGAUUUCGAAAGAAAAACAAAUUGCUGGUGUAAGAUUCACGAAAAUGAUGUUGUUGUUUGAUGAUUUUGAGUUUGGAAUUUAUAACUGGAAUAAUCUGUGUUCAUCAUGUUCAUAUGAUGUUCAUGAUGAACUUUGUGAAUUUUGUGUAUUUGAUUUGAAAAAGGAAAAAAAGAGAAAAUGAAAGGUGUUUCUGAUGGUGAUUGGUGACUGCAGAACUGAUUGGGGGUCUGUGUGUACAGUGAUUUUUUCCUUGACCUCUUUUCCAAUGAUUGACAGUGUUUUUAUAGUGACAAACUAGGGUUGGCUCUGGUACAAAUCAAUGACCAAAAUGCCCCUGCAGCUGAGACUUGGAGAAAAAGACUUUAACAAAUAAAUAAAUAAAUAAAUAAAAACAAAAUGAAUAAAAUAAAUAAAUAAUAAUAAAAAAAAAAAAAAAAAGAAAAGAGGAAGGAAGAAAGUCACUCACGUGACUUUCAUUUCUUUGUUUUUUUUUCUAAAAAAUAAAAAAUAAAAUAAUAAUAAACAAACUAACCUAAAAAAAAAAGAAAAUAAAAAGUCCCUUCGAAAUCUGACAUGAGGUACUUCAAAGUAUCCUCCCUGCCGAAAUUUCGGUUGAAAUGAUUAAAAAGAUACGCCUUUUAACAUACAAUUAGCAAUUUUAAAAUGACUUGCCUGUUAUGACUAAAAGGAUUAUAAAAUGCGUUUAUAAAAAUGCAAAUGGAGUGAUUUUAAAUGUUGUAGAAAAUGCAAGCGAGGACUUAAAUGCAAGAUGAAAGUUUUUUUUUAAAUGAUUAAUGACGAAAAACACGAGUUUUAAAAGGUAAAAAACGAAUAAAAGAGAAUCUGAACUAUUAAAAAAAUGUGGACAAAAAAGAUUUCAAAUGAUCCAAAUUUGGGGUAUGACAAAUAUGAUUGCUAUGUGUAUCAUAUCAAUCAAUCAUAUCAUAGACAUUUGUGGCUGGUCCCUAAAGUAAUCACCAGACAAAUUAAGUUAAAAAUAAAAUAUUAUAUUUGAAUAAAAGGUAUCCCAUAUAGAAUUUAAAAUGUUACGCGUUAAAAUACAUCGUAAAAAAAUCAAUGUUACGCGUUAAAAUAUUAUUUUUGGAGUUUUUUUUUCCCUCUUUUAAGUUGUAUAUGGAACAAUAGAAAUCUGAACAGUUGUUUACUAUCGUUGCGGAUAAAAACAUCAUUUUCAUGUAUUUUUUUAGACAAAAUUGAAUGUGAGAAAAACAAUUUUCAUUUUCAUGCUGAUUCAUUUUGAAUUGAGGCAGGCCUAACAACUCAUUACAUCUGUAGGACAUAAAAGUCCAACUUAUAUCAACUCCUCACUAUGUGGUCCAUAUACAUAUGCACUUUUAUCACAAAAUAUCUCAACACCUAUAACAGAUGGUGUCAAUUUUGACUUUAUCAAAUAAUUUUGGGACAUAUUAAAGGAUGAUUUUUUGAGAUUUAUGGUGGAGUUUCAUCGAAACGGAAAGUUGACAAAAGGCUUAAAUUCUACUUUUAUUCAUUUACUUCCUAAGGUGAAUAGUCCGCAACGGCUUAAUGAUUUCCGGCCUAUCUCCUUGGUUGGUUGUCUGUAUAAGGUGUUAGCUAAAGUUCUGGCUAAUAGGCUUAAAUCAGUUAUGGGUAGUGUGGUCUCUGAGUCACAAUAUGCUUUUAUUAAAGGGAAACAAAUUUUAGAUGGAAUUUUAAUAGCGUAUGAGGCGGUUGAUGAAGCUAAACAGUUGAAUAAGGAGUUGCUCUUGUUCAAAGUUGAUUUCGAAAAAGCGUAUGACUCCGUGGAUUUAAGGUAUCUGGAUUCUGUUAUGGCUAGUAUGAAUUUUCCAACUAUUUGGAGAAAGUGGAUUUCUGAAUGUGUUGGCACGGCAACAGGCGUCAGUGUUAGUGAAUGGUUGUCCAACGGAGGAGUUUUCUAUUGAGCGG